rnacentral:lncRNA from 10 species
GAGACAGGGUUUCGGCAUGUUGGCCAGGCUGGUCUCAAACUCCUGACCUCAAGUGAUCCACCCACUUCAGCCUCCCAAAGUUCUGGGACUACAGGCGUGAGCCACCAUGCCCAGCUGAGUACAAUUAUUUCUAAUAUAUGCCUAUUAAUGAGAAUAACGGAAUUAUUUUGGGAUGAGAUAACCUUUUGCUUAAUUGGGGUUCAAAGUUAUGCUUCUCCAAUUUGGAGGUUCCUCAAAGAACUAAAAAUGGAGCUACCAUAUGAUCCAGCAGCCCCACUGCUGGGUAUAUACUCAAAGGAAAGAAAAUAAUCAAAGAGAUAUCUGCACUCCCAUGUUUGUUGCAGCACUGUUCACAAUAGCCAAGAUUUGGAAGCAGCCUAAGUGUCCACCAACAGGUGAAUGGAUAAAGAAAAUGUGGUACAUAUACACAAUGGAGUACUAUUCAGCCAUAAAAAGAAUGAUAUCCUGUCAUUUGCAACACAUGGAUGGAACUGGAGGUCAUUAUGUUAAGUGAAAUAAGCCAGGCACAGAAAGACAAACAUUGCAUGUUCUCACGUAUUUGUGAGAUCUCACGUAUUUGUGGGAUCUAAAAACCAAAACGAUUGAACUCGUGGAGAUAGAGAGUAGAAGGAUGGUUACCAGAGGUUGGGAAGGGCGGUAGGGGAAUGGGGGAGAAGUGGGGAUGGGUAAUGGGUACAAAAAAUGUAUAGUUAGAAAGAAUGAAUAAGACCUAGUAUUUGAUAGCACAACAGGGUGACUAUAGUCAAUAGUAAUUGUACAUUUUAAGAUAACUAUAAUAAUAUAAGCGGAUUGUUUGUAACACAAAGGAUAAAUGCUUGAGGGGAUGGAUACUCCCAUUUUCCAUGAUGUGAUGAUUAUGCAUUGCAGGCCUGUAUCAAAAUAUCUCAUGUACCCCAUAAAUAUUUACAACUACUACGUACCAACAAAAGUUAUUUUAAUUAAAAAACAAAAACAAAAAACAGAACAAAGUUAGGGCUUCCCCAUCAUCAAACCACCUGCAAACAUUUAUCUCUAAAAAUUAUUCUUAGCUCAUGGGCCACACAAAAACAGGCAGCAGGUGAGAUUUGGCCCACAGGCCAUAGUGGCCAAACCCUGACUUAGAUGGUUGUGAGUUUCAGUGACUGCUUGUUAUGAUUAAAACCAAGCAAUUCAUCUUAAGCAAAAUUGCUAAAAAUAAACUCCUAGGCCCAGCAGUGGCAUGCAAAUAUAGUUCCAGCUACUUGGGAGGCUGAGGCAGGAGGACUGCCUGAGCCCAGAAGUUCCAGUCUCUAAAAAAAUUAAAAAGAAAAAAAAAACUUGUAUAAAUCCCUUUCUAGAAUAAUUGUAUUACUCAUUUACGUCUAAUAGGAUAAUUAUGUCAGACUAACAAAUUAAUUUAUAUCAGGUUAAUAUGAAACUAAUAGGAAACCCAAUUAUUGAUACUAGUUGGUAAACUCAUACCUUCUCCCCAGCUACAAAGAAGUCUAUGAAUAUGUCAUUCUGUUAUCAUUAUCAUUAUAUUUAGCUAACAUUCAUUGAGCACUUACUAUGUCCUAAGCACCUUCUAUUCAUCAGUUUUUCCCCAUGGCAACAUAGGAAUUAUUAGCCCAUUUCACAGACGAGGAUAAUGAGAUUUAUGAGCAUUAUGUGCUUGUACGAGGCCUGGUCUGUCUGACUUCAAACCAGUUCGCCUAAGCAUUAUAUUAUACUGUAGACAUUACUGGAAAUCAAGAAAGAGCACCUCUUCUCUCUUCAAAACCGAAACCUAGACAUAUUUCCAUAAAAUGCAUAUUCUUUUCCUUCAAAUUUAGGGUAUUUCAAUUAAGCCCUAGUGUUUAACAUAAACUUGCUGGUUGGCCUACUUUCCUGAGGAAACAAGUGAAGGGGAAAGCACCUCUAUUGACCUAACUUGGCUACCUGUAGUAGGUAAAAUUAUGGCCAAGUCCUAAUCCCUGGAUCCUAUGAACAUGUUACAUUACAUAGUAAGAAGGACUUUGCAGGUGUAAUUAAGCUUAAGGACCUUAAAAUAGAGAGAUUAUCCUGGAUUAUUCAGGUAGGCUCAAUCUAAUCACAAGCCCUUAAAAGCAGACAACCUUGUUUGGCUGGAAUCAGAGAGAUGCAACAGAGGAGGAAGUCGGAGAGGAGGAAGGGUAAGAAGGAUUUGACACGCUGCUGGCUCUAAGAUGUAGGGGCAAUGGGCAAGGACUGCAUAAAUCCCUCUGAGAACAAAGAGUGGCUUCCAGGCGAUAGCCAGCAAGGAAGUAAAGACCUUACCCCUACAAUCAGAAAGAACUGGAUUCUGCCAACAACUUGAAUCCCCUUGGAAGGGGAUUAUUCCCAGAACCUCCCCAUAAGAGCCCAGCCGGCUGACACUCUGAUUUCAGCCUUAUGAAAUCCAAAGCAGAGAAAACAACCAAGCUACCCUAGACUUCUGAGCUAGAGAACUGUGAGAUAAUAAAUCUGUGCUGUUUUAAGCUGCUUAGGUUGUAGGAGUUUGUUACAGUAGCAAUAGGAAACUAAUGCACUAUCCAAAGAACCCAACAUUUGUAGGUCAAGAGGGGAAAAUCCAGGUGGGUGCCUUGGCUUCUAAAUAACACUGGAAUGAAUCAUAAUACAUACAAAAGAUAACGUGUAUUCCUAGAGCUUGUCCCUUCUCUUUUUGUUCUUCCCAACUCCCCUCUCUUUAAAAUAACAAACUUUUAAAAUAUUCAGGUAAGGGCCAUGCAGGGAAAAUGUUCCUAACUGCUGGUAGACAAAGGUAGACAAAGCAAACCAAACAACCAGUCUCUGAAACUAGACCUUAAUGGGGCUUCUGAAGCUUCAACAAGAAUAACGAAAACAUCUUAUUUCAGACACAUGAUCUUACCAUUCCUGACCUCCCAGGGCUCUUAUUGACUCUAGGGCACGUAUGGAGACUUGAUAAUACCCAGAGCUGAUAUUAAGCAGCUGCACCAGUAGAUCCUACCAGUUGUUGAUGCUGUUAUUUCUUCUAUUUGUUCAGGGCCCAUGCCAAACCAGCUGUUAAACAUUUUGUAUAUCUCCCGUAUUACAUCCAAGUUUAUUAUAUAUUUAGUUUUACUAUUCUCUAAUGUAAGGCUACAUGUGCUAGUUUUAAUAUGUGUUUGUGAACUUUUUUACACUCCUCCCAUUAAGAGAUGGAAUCUAAAUUCCUCUCCCCUUGAUUAUGGGUUAGCCUUAGUGACUCACUUCUAAAGAAUAAUACGCAGCAGAAAUGACAGUGUGACUUCCAAGGCUAGGUAAUUAAAGGUGAUACAACUUCCCCCUGAUGCAUACAAACACACCCUCCCUCCCUUCUUCUUUCUCAGAAAAGCUGCUCUUUGAACUUUCUAUAUCAAUCAACAUGCUGUAAGGAAACCCAACAUACAUGAAGAGGCCAUAUGUAGAUGUUCUAGUCAACAGUCAGCAUCAACCAUUAGACAUGUGAGAGAGGUAGCCUUCCAUAUGACUCUAGCCCCAGCCACUAUCUGACUGUAACUACAUGAAAGACCACAAAUGGUCAGGUGCAGUGGCUCAUGCCUGUAAUCCCAGCACUUUGGGAGGCUGAGGUGGGCAGAUCACCUGAAGUCAGGAGUUCGAAACCAGCCUGGCCAACAUGGUGAAAUGCUGUCUGUACUAAAACUACAAAAAUUAGCUCAGCGUGGUGGCGGGCACCUGUAAUCUCAGCUACUCAGGAGGCUGAGGCAGGAGAAUCGCUUGAACCUGGGAGACGGAGGUUGCAGUGAGCCGAGAUCACGCCAAUGUACUCCAGCCUGGUGACAGAGUGAGACUCUGUGUCCAAAAAAAAAAAAAAAAACCACAAACGAGAACCAUGCAGCUGAGCCUAGUGACCCCCAGAACCAUGAGAGAGAAAAAUAAUGACUGUUGUUUCAGUACUCUAAAUUUGGGGGAGGUUUAUCACACAGCAAUAGAUAAAUGGAAUGCUGAAAAGUUGGCUAUCCACAGACUAAGUCCAACCCAAUGGGCUGAAUCUUCCCAGAAAACUGUUUUGCUUGCCCAACACAAUGGCUUAACAAACUAUUGAAUUGGAAUUCCUUCAAGUGGUGUGUGUAAUUACUAGUUUUCUACAGUCCCUACCACUCCCUGUUGUUUACACCCAUGUAGGUCAACCAUUUGUUAACUGACUGGCCCCUGAAGGCAUCUGAGUUUGCACAGCUUAUGUCCCAACAAGAUUUUAAGUUGCUUAUGGGCUUUGACUGUUGUCCAAAUGCUCGCUAUAAGUCAUAUGCAUAACUAUAGCAAGUAAAGAAUUCCAGAUAGUUUUGGAGAGAAAGUGAGAAAAAGAGAGAGAGAGAAAAGAAAAGAAGAAAAGAAAAGAACGAACGAACGGACAAGCUGAGUCAUCCACAAUUGUUUUCUGAAGACUGGUCUUUCCAGAGCAUGCUGGUGAAUUAUGCAUUGUUUUUUAAACCUCAUCUCUGGGACCCCCACUGCACUACAGAGCCUCACAGAAUAUAUUACCUUCUGCACCAUCUAUGCAGGUUAUUGAAUCCUUUUUUAUUAUUUAUUGAGCAUCAUCAUGACUUGAAGAUAAUCAGAACACAUACAAAGAAUCCCUAUUUACCUCCCAAAGAUACAUACCUAGAAUAAGGUAAUAAUACUAGUAGCAACAUUGCCAACAUCUGAAGAGAGUGUUCUUCUUCCUAAAAUAUGCUAUAUAUGUAUUCCUCUAUUCAGAUUCAAAUGUUUUUUUCUGCCACAGACUUCGUUGUCAAUUCCUCCUCAUCCUACCCCACCCCAUUCUACAUUUUUCCCUGAGAAGCUUCAGAAAUACAUCUUGCAAUAUCCCAUGGCUCCAGGUUAGACUGCCAAUGAGAAGCACUCAUAGGCAAUUCCAAAGGUAGAAGAGGAGAUGCCAUUCAUUUGCUGUUGGUAGCCUUAUACAGAUAUGUGGGCAUCUGCAGACAGCAGAUACAGCCCUUUUCCAGCAACUUCCAGGCAUUCUCCUGAGAAAGACCUCUUUGGUGUACAAGCAGCAGAGAUCAUUGACAGACUCUGCCCUUCACUCCCCAGCCCUCUGAAAGGUUACCUAAGCCUCCAAUUCCCUGUAUUAAAUGUCUUGCUGGUUGAUAUACUUAGAAGAGUGUCUGGUUUCCUGAAUGAACCCUAAGUAAGGCAAAUAGUAAUCACAUCACUUUUUAAUUUUUCAAAAUGGGAGAAGUGAAGCACCAAUAGUUUGAUGGCUUGAAGGGCAAAGUAUUAGUGAGUCAGGUCUGAGAUUAAUUACCCUAUUGGUUACAUGGACAAAAAGGAAAGGCAAGUCCCACUGUAAAUGCUGAGAGAGCAGUGAUAUAAAUAUUUAACAGAUUGCAUAUUAUAUCCUGCAAGAAAUAUUUCCUAGGCUGUUUGUGGCUGAUCAAAAACUCCAGGGCUUUCCAUACCCAGUGCAUGCAUUUUCAUGCUUUAUUCAUACAGACAUGUAGAGAGAAGCUGCACUUGACAGCUGGACAUCCGUUCCUCAAUAGAGGAGGUUUACGCAGCUGCUGAUCUUCACUACCUCUGUGACCUUAGGCAGAGUACUUAACUUUUUGAAAUAAACACCGCCUACUGUCUACCUAAUAACUAUUCUCCCUUUCUUCUCUUACUGUCAGGACUCCAAUUCUGCUCAGGAUGACAAUGGACUCAACAACAACAACAACAACAACAACAAAAUAGCUGUGUUGCCCAGCUUCCUUUCCAACUGGAGUCAGCUACAGGAUGAGAUUCGGGCCAAUGACAUUUAAGAAAAACUUCUUGUUGCACUUCCAAUGAUCCAUUUUAAAAGGGGACAGAUUCAUCAGCAUAUGCUUUCUGCCUCGAGUCCAGGGUUUCUCAACACUUUGGGCCAGAUAAUUCUUGCUCUGGGGUUUGUCCUAUAAAUUGUAGGAUGUUUAGCAGCAUCUUUGGCUUCUACAAAUUAGAUACCAGGAGCAACCCAUGCCCCCCUCCGCAAGUUGUGACAACCAAAAAUAUCUCCAUAUAUUGCCAAAUGUGCCCCUGGUGGCAAAAUCACCUCCAGCUGAGAACUACUGCUUUAGCCUUUCCUCUUCUUCCUUUCUGGAAUGCUGAUGCAAUGCCAGAAGCCGAGCAGCCAUCUAGUAAUCACAAGGCAACACAUAUGAGGAAAAAAUCUACAUGCUGAAGAUGGUGGGAUGAAAAGCUGAUGGCAUUCGAAGGCCAGCAUAUUAGACCUGGACUGCCUCCCUCUUUUCCCUUCAUGACAUACAGAAAAUAAAGCCCUUAUUUGUUUGAGGCAUUAUGUGUCAUGUUUUCCAUUAGCUAAUGUAAUCCUAAC